CCUUCAAUGUGCACAGUUUUGAAUUUUCCAACUUUCACUGUCACCACAGAUAAAUAUUUUACAGGGCAGAGAAUAACGAAUUCAUUUCGCGAAUUUUUCUCGUAGCAAACUGGUAGGCGGAAGCAGCAGGAAUUCCAGGAGUUAUCACAUGAUUAUAAUAUCGAAAAUUAUAUUGACGCAAUCAAAUUUUAAUAUAGAUGGCAAUAUAAACAUAUAUAAUGACAAACUAAAUUAUUAAAUUUGCUACCAGAAUAAAAUUCAAAACUAAAAAAGCCAUCAUAUUGUAAAACCAUUCCAGUUUGACACCCUCAAAAACUGUGAUUCUCAG